CAGUAGCCGCGGGAAAACGGAGGGUGCAAGCGUUAAUCGGAAUUACUGGGCGUAAAGCGCACGCAGGCGGUUUGUUAAGUCAGAUGUGAAAUCCCCGAGCUUAACUUGGGAACUGCAUUUGAAACUGGCAAGCUAGAGUCUUGUAGAGGGGGGUAGAAUUCCAGGUGUAGCGGUGAAAUGCGUAGAGAUCUGGAGGAAUACCGGUGGCGAAGGCGGCCCCCUGGACAAAGACUGACGCUCAGGUGCGAAAGCGUGGGGAGCAAACAGGAUUAGAUACCCGAGUAGUCCCUGUCUCUAUACA
rnacentral:rRNA from 1 species